AGAUCAGCAAGGAACCAGAGCUCUGGGUGAGCUCCAGCCCCGGGGCUCAGACUCACCAUGGCAGCCAGUCCAGAGCCUGAGCUGCUUCAGCCCCAGGUUUUGCUCACCCUCAUGGCAACACCUCCAACCUGAGGACCCAGGGCGUGCUGGAAAGGGAACUCCUCUCUUUCCACCACUGAGAUGCUUCCAGCCUUGUCUGAGAGGAAGGCAGCCACCUCCAUCCCUGCAAGGAAGAGGCAUGCCCGAGGUCUGCACCUGGGACUUUGAGGACACCAGAGCUGGAAGAGAGAGACUCCGGAUGCAUUCCAUGGUCCAUCCCUGGAUGCACAGGUCGGUGUCACAGCCUCCCCACUGAGGGCUGAGCUCAGCUGCUCUGGUACCUCUUUCUCUGUCCAGAACUCUAUGCCCCGAGCCUCGAGGAAUUCAGGUUUCCUCAGGUAGACGUCCUCAGCUUUCAAGUUCAUUUCCUGGA